ACCUGUUGGUGACCUUCUGCUGUUGUUUUUUUUAUUUGGUCGGGUUGUUGUCUCUUUGACACAUUCCCCAUUUCCAUUCUCAAUUUUAUUAUCUAUUCCAUUGAUUCAUUAAAAUUGUGAUUUAACUAUUUACCUUUCAUCUUUGAAAACAGGGCUACACUCCAAACUAGAAUCCGAAAAGUAAUGAACGUAGGAACAAAUCCAACCAUCGUCCAUGUUACAAACUUUUCAUAGCAAACUUGAUC
rnacentral:lncRNA from 1 species